rnacentral:rRNA from 1 species
GUGAGUCGACCCCUAAGGCGAGGCCGAAAGGCGUAGUCGAUGGGAAACAGGUUAAUAUUCCUGUACUUGGUGUUACUGCGAAGGGGGGACGGAGAAGGCUAUGUCGGCCGGGCGACGGUUGUCCCGGUUUAAGCGUGUAGGCUGACUUUCCAGGCAAAUCCGGAAGGUUAAGGCUGAGGCGUGAUGACGAGGCACCACGGUGCUGAAGUGACAAAUGCCCUGCUUCCAGGAAAAGCCUCUAAGCAUCAGGUAACAUCAAAUCGUACCCCAAACCGACACAGGUGGUCAGGUAGAGAAUACCAAGGCGCUUGAGAGAACUCGGGUGAAGGAACUAGGCAAAAUGGUGCCGUAACUUCGGGAGAAGGCACGCUGACAUGUAGGUGAAGCCCCUGCGGGUGGAGCUGAAGUCAGUCGAAGAUACCAGCUGGCUGCAACUGUUUAUUAAAAACACAGCACUGUGCAAACACGAAAGUGGACGUAUACGGUGUGACGCCUGCCCGGUGCCGGAAGGUUAAUUGAUGGGGUUAUCGCAAGAGAAGCUCCUGAUCGAAGCCCCGGUAAACGGCGGCCGUAACUAUAACGGUCCUAAGGUAGCGAAAUUCCUUGUCGGGUAAGUUCCGACCUGCACGAAUGGCGUAAUGAUGGCCAGGCUGUCUCCACCCGAGACUCAGUGAAAUUGAACUCGCUGUGAAGAUGCAGUGUACCCGCGGCAAGACGGAAAGACCCCGUGAACCUUUACUACAGCUUGACACUGAACAUUGAGCCUUGAUGUGUAGGAUAGGUGGGAGGCUUUGAAGCGUGGACGCCAGUCUGCGUGGAGCCGACCUUGAAAUACCACCCUUUAAUGUUUGAUGUUCUAACCUGGCGCCGUGAUCCGGCGUGGGGACAGUGUCUGGUGGGUAGUUUGACUGGGGCGGUCUCCUCCCAAAGUGUAACGGAGGAGCACGAAGGUCAGCUAAUCCUGGUCGGACAUCAGGAGGUUAGUGCAAUGGCAUAAGCUGGCUUGACUGCGAGAGUGACGGCUCGAGCAGGUGCGAAAGCAGGUCAUAGUGAUCCGGUGGUUCUGUAUGGAAGGGCCAUCGCUCAACGGAUAAAAGGUACUCCGGGGAUAACAGGCUGAUACCGCCCAAGAGUUCAUAUCGACGGCGGUGUUUGGCACCUCGAUGUCGGCUCAUCACAUCCUGGGGCUGAAGUAGGUCCCAAGGGUAUGGCUGUUCGCCAUUUAAAGUGGUACGCGAGCUGGGUUUAGAACGUCGUGAGACAGUUCGGUCCCUAUCUGCCGUGGGCGCUGGAGAAUUGAGGGGGGCUGCUCCCAGUACGAGAGGACCGGAGUGGACGCAUCACUGGUGUUCGGGUUGUCAUGCCAAUGGCACUGCCCGGUAGCUAAAUGCGGAAGAGAUAAGUGCUGAAAGCAUCUAAGCACGAAACUUGCCCCGAGAUGAGUUCUCCCUGAGACUGUAAGUCUCCUGAAGGAACGUUGAAGACGACGACGUUGAUAGGCCGGGUGUGUAAGCGCAGCGAUGCGUUGAGCUAACCGGUACUAAUGAACCGUGAGGCUUAACCUUACAACGCCAAAGAAGU